UGGGGUGUAGCUCAGUGGGAAAGCAUAUGCAUUGCAUGUAUGAGACCUGGAUUUGAUCCCCAGCACUGCAA
rfam:Ictidomys tridecemlineatus contig063666, whole genome shotgun sequence.